GGCUCGCGAGCUGCAGUUUGCCAACCACUGAGCUAGGCCAGUGAGCACGCAAGCCAUCACCUCCCUUGCUGCCUCUAAGCCCGCUCUCUUCCCUCUGCUCCCAGGAAGUCCCCACCCAAGGCGCUCAGGCCUUCCUCCACAGCAGGAAGGAAGCUGGCAAUCCUGGGCUCAAAUGGCAUGACCAGGACAGACUGGGCAGCCCAGGGAGGAAAACAAACCCAGAGCCCCCACAGAAGCUGCAGAAACUAGCUGACUAAUUUCAGUUCCAGGAACAAACUACCAGCAAUACAAUCAUAAUGCUCUGGAGGCGGCUUGGCAGAAUAAUAUGAACACUUUGCCUUGAAGAAAACAAAACUAAAACCCCCUGAGAGUAUCAGGUGAGAAGAAACCAGACAAGCAGCCCCGGGUUUCCAUCCUCAGAAGGUCAGCAGAAGAACCCGGUGUGGUGUGAGCAGCAUGGCGGGGAGGGGUGUUCAGCAAGAAGGUGACCACCCAGCUGGACCGCCCCAGCUUGGGCCUGGGGUCUCUUCAUAAAGAGCUUCGAGGUCGCUGCCACAGGUUCAGUUUUGUCUCCUGUGGUCAGUGCGCCACUUCUAACAGGUGGACCCUGCAUUCUGGCCCCUUCCAAGCUGCCAAGCCGUUAAUGACCUGUUCACACAGCUGCUAUUUCAACCCAGGGACGCUGUGCUAAGGGGGCCCCUGAGGUUUUGGGGAAGCUCUGGCUGUCUCGAGCAUCCCUAAAAGCCUCCAUGCUUGUGCCUUCUCAACAAAAAUUAAAGGUCCCAAAUCUAAAAAAAAAAAAA